rnacentral:rRNA from 1 species
UACGAAGGGGGCUAGCGUUGCUCGGAAUCACUGGGCGUAAAGCGCACGUAGGCGGGUCGUUAAGUCAGGGGUGAAAUCCCGGAGCUCAACUCCGGAACUGCCUUUGAUACUGGCGAUCUUGAGUUCGAGAGAGGUGAGUGGAACUGCGAGUGUAGAGGUGAAAUUCGUAGAUGUUCGCAAGAACACCAGUGGCGAAGGCGGCUCACUGGUCCGGUACUGACGCUGAUGUGCGAAAGCGUGGGGAGCAAACAGG